GUUUACAAUGAUGUGGCCGCUCCCAGAUGGACCUGGGAGCCUAUGUUUCCAUGUAGAGUCUUGAAUAUGAAAUGAGGGGAAAGAACCCUGUGUGGACUUUAACUUAUUGAACACACCCUUCCCUCUGGGCAUUCCAGAAACAGAAAAUCAAGAUCGAUGUGUCUGUCUAGCAUCUGUCUCCCUUCUUCUUCUCAUGGUCCUUUGGGACCAGAAAUGGGCAGGCUUUCUGCCUCUACAAUUUAUCAUUCUCCUUUUACCCUAAAGCAUCUGCCUCCCUUCCCAGCCCAGUCAUUUUAAACAGAACCAGUGCUUGCAGGCAUGGAAAUGACUCUGUGAUCUGAGUUUUACCUACAACCUUGUUUCUCAGAUGUUCAAUGGGAGCUAAAGAAAUUUAGAAAAUCCUAUUUCUCUCUCAACAAAGCCUAGGUUUUGCAACUACUGUUUCUACAAAAAUCCUACUUUUGAUUGGAAGACUUUCAAUAUUAACUUUUUUUGCAUUGAUGCUGUAGAAAUCUAAAGGUAAGUAUGUCUCUGGCAAAAGGGUAAAGGGUAAGCCAGUCAAUAAACACAAAAGAGAAAAGUAUAUUAAUGUUAUUCCAAAAAUGUUAUCAGACGACCUUCAAAAUGCCUUCCAACUUAAAAGUAUUUGAUUUCUGAGAUGAUGGUGCUUGAGGAUUCAGUCUGGAAAGAUAACACACUUUUCAAGUGUGUAUAUAUAUACUAACUUUAUUAUCAUCUUUCUUAUGUUUUCAAAGUGUUAACCCCUAGCAAUGUCUCUGGGCAAUAUAGUGAGACCCCAUCUCUACAAAAAAUUUAUUUUAAUUAACCAAGCAGCACGGCCUGUAGUCCCAGUAACCUGGGAGGCUGAGAUGGGAGGAUUGCUUGAGCCUGGGUGGUUGAGGCUGCUGUGAGCCAAGAUCUGCCAUUGCACUCCAGCCUGAGUAAUAGAGUGAGACCCUGUGUCAAAAAAAAUAAUAAUAAGAAGAAGAAAACAAUACAGGCCAGGUGUAGUGGCUCACACCUAUAAACCCAACACUUUGGUAGGCUGAGGUGGAACAAUGGUUUGAGCCCAGGAGUUUGAAACCAGCCUGGGCAAUGUAAUAAGACUCCAUCUAUACAAAAAUUUUUUUAAAAAAUUAGCCAGAUGUGGUGGUGUGCAUGUGUAGUCCCAGCUACUUGGGAGGCUGAGGUG
rnacentral:lncRNA from 1 species